UACGUAGGGGGCUAGCGUUGUCCGGAUUUAUUGGGCGUAAAGAGCGUGUAGGCGGCCUGGUAGGUCUGCUGUGAAAACUCGAGGCUCAACCUCGAGAUGUCGGCGGAAACCAUCUGGCUAGAGUCCGGAAGAGGAGAGUGGAAUUCCUGGUGUAGCAGUGAAAUGCGUAGAGAUCGGGAGGAACAUCAGUUGCGAAGGCGGCUCUCUGGACCAGCACUGACACUGAGGCACGAAAGCGUGGGGAGCAAACAGG
rnacentral:rRNA from 1 species